CGUUCGGAAGGCACACCGAGACAACCCUGUAGGCAACGUCGCUGCCCCGAGGCGGCCAUCUCAGGCCGCCUCAACGGUGGUGUGCUGGCUUUAGUGGUUCCUUAGUGGUUCCUGGUGGCAAGCUACCACAGGAUGACCCCGGUACUUCGCUCAAGGCGGCCCCGUUUCGGUAGUGCAACCGGCUGUCUCGCGGUUUCUCCCUCCACCAGGCAAGGCAGGUCCUGCAGCACUCCAUCUGCGACGGGGAGAGGUUCUGGUUCAUCGGCGUUCCAUCGGCGACAAGUAUUAAGUGGCCAGGUGGCAGUCCUCAGCAAAGACAGCAGAUACCAAGCGGGAGCUCACAAUGUGACGAUCGCCCAGUUGCAUCUCCGAACUUCAGCAGACUUCCCAGUGCGGGUAGCUGGAGGCGCAAUAGGGAAUAGCACGUCAGUCCCUGACCCCGCCGGAAGACCAUGGCGUCGUUCACGAUCGCCGUGAAACUGCAGCCGAGCAACACAUCAGCCCUUGGCACACCAGCGAGACAUCGAGAGAUGCCAUCUGCCUAGAGGAGCUGACUCGGCCACCGGGUGUUCCAUGGCUGUGUUCGCGCAUGCGCCCGACGUCUCCUUUACCGCGGAGGGCCACGCAGAGAAGCCACCGAGUCCAGCCAAGGUACAAGGGCGAGGCCAGCCGGUCGUCGGCCACGAAAGCCACAGUGGAGAGCGCACAGGCUUCAGUGGCCACGGGGCUCCACGCCGUGAAUUCGACCAUGCAUCAGGAGUGCUUAGGCCACGCUGUCAUCAGUCCCUGCCUUGCCGCGAGAUUGUGUGUUUAAAGGGACGAACUGUAGGACGCAGUUCUUCACAUCCUUGCUUUGUUGGCGGCAUAUUCAUGCGUGACUUGUGCGUUUAUCUCCUGAACCGACCAUAUCUCGCGCCAAUUUUUGAUUGUAGUAUAUUUAUGCACGCAUAUUCAUUUCGCCGGGUACUUAUUUCUUGAUUUAUGCGUAAAUUUUUUCGUUGAUAUUGCUUCUUUUAAUUUUUGUGUUGUAAUUGAUUCGUUAUGAAGAGUUCCGGUAGGUUUUCUUAAUAGUUCCGGAAGGUUUGCCGACAACCAUCAAGAAAGACCAGAUAUAGCUGGAGAUUUAUCAGUAGCGACUUCUGAUCGCGCCUAUUUCGGAAUCUAGACAAUUUAAGCGUACAUAUUAAUUUUGUACGCUAUGUAUCUAUCAAUUUAUGCGUUACUAACUCUGUUAUUAUUUAUCGUUUUGAAUUUCUGCGUAUAAUUGAUUUAUUUGACUGGAAGGUUUGCGAAAGAGUUCCGGUAGGCUUGCCUAAAAGUUCAGGAACGUUUGCUAUCAUGUUAUUUCACCUCGCGACCUUCCAAACAACCAUGAACAAAAGCCACACACUGCUUCAGAUUUAUCAGUAGCAACUAUGGUUCGCGCCUAUUCCGUAAUAUAGUCUAUUUAGGUGCACAUAUUCACUUUGUCGGCAACGUAUCUAUCGAUUUAUGCGUUAAUAUUUUCAUUAAUAUUUAUCGUUUGAAUUUCUACCUUAUAAUUUAAUGGUUUCCGAGAGUUUCCGAUGGUUUGCCAAUAUUUGCUUUCUGCUAGCGAUCUUCCAAACAACCAUUAACAAAAGCCAAAUGCCUCAAAAGGAUAUUGCAUUAGAUCAAUCUCUUAUAAGCGCGCACAUUGCGAACCGCAGCCGAUUCGUACGAAGCUAUUGUGUUGCGUUCUCCCCCUUAAAACGAUCGUUCGCAUCUACUCUAAAUUGUACCGUAAUUUCUCAUGUAUACUGUUGCUAUAUGUACAGUUGAAUGUAAGUGUUAAUAUAGUUAUUUAUUAUAAUUUACAAGUCUGAGUUAUAAUUGCAAGGAGAUCUGGAAGGUUUGGUUGCUGGGGACAACUGACAUUUUGAGAUAGCGACUUUCGAAACAAAUAUUAACAAACGUUAGACGGUCCCUUACAAAGAGCCUUCGUAUAGGUUCAUUGUAUGUCAAUGAAAUGAUCCGGCCUCCUCUGAGUUGAAUUCAUGCGCAUGUUUGCGUACAUGACUUUUCAGACGUAUUUGUGGACAAGAACUUUCUGUGCGACAAUGUUGUUGUGCACACAUGGACUUGCGGGCACCUCAUUUUACAGUCGGUGCAAAACGUCGUGUGAUAAGGAAAUGCGAUUUUUCUUUUUGCCAAGAAGGGCGCGUAUAUAAGGAAACCAGGCUGCAGUGGUUCGUGGUAUUACCGGGACACCUUCGUAUGGAAGAAGAUUUCGCCUAUUGGUCAUAGGGUGUCGAACUGAAAAGCAAAUGCAGCAAUCAGCGUCACUUGGUGUAAAAUUUUGAAACUGAGCUCUAGUACACCUGUUAAUAAAGCUAUUCAAGAGAG